rnacentral:misc_RNA from 1 species
UCGAGCCCGAAAAAACAAUCGACCGCGAACUCGUUAUCGAUGCUCAUGAGGUGCGCACAGCGGGCAUCCCCUGUUGUUGCCCCUCCCGUCCGUUGGGCGCCGCGUGCUCCCGGCGGGCGAAAAAUGUACCCACGGCGCGGCAAGCGCCAAGGAAGACCAUGUGGGUCGUCUGAUCCCGUGAUGCCCCGUUUGCGGUGCGCAUUAUGGGACCUGGCACCCGAUUGAAUGAUGGUGUUAAUGCCAUCGCAACAUAAC